rnacentral:lncRNA from 10 species
CUGGGCUCAAGUGGCUCUUCAACGUCAGCCUGCUGAGGAAUGAGGACUACAGGGAUUUCACUGUUUUCUGCUAUCUGGAUUUUCCCAAAGAUCCGCUAAAUCCUAAACUUCAUCUUGGUCUGAAGAAGGGCAAGUCCUCUCUCCAGCUCUUCAUUUGCUGACUCUCACUGAUGCAAGAAGAAUGAAGUCUCUUACCUGCCUUCUCCUAGGACAUCCUGGGAGAAACUGUGACUGCUGGUGAUUUUUGCUGUUAAAAUAGCC